ensembl:lncRNA
UGUAUGAUAUAAGCAGACCUUCUUGAAGCGAUACAAAUUGAGGUAUGUUAAAUAAUCUGCUAAAGUUAUUGUUGUUGAUUGUAUUGUAAUGAUGCAACAUUUAUUAUUUAUAAACAAUUGAUGCGAUAUCAAUUAAAAAGAUGGGUCAAUAAUUUAUUUCGAGAGGCAAAAGUACUUGAUUGAGUCAGAUGUUCUGUCUGACUCAAACUUAGCUAACCACGUGUAGGUUAAACUGCCCCUAGUCUUCUCUUUACCCGCUCUGUCUGACUCACUUUUAAAAUUAAUUACAUUUUUAUUUUUAUCUUGUUGUCUGUCUUUAGCUUGCGUGACGGCUUCUUCUGAGGAAGAUGUUAUCUUCACUCACCUGACUUCAAUUCUGGACAGCACACCCACACACACCCACAGUGACCAGAUCAGAUUCAUUAUGGAUGUCCAGAGUCCAUCACAUGUGCUCUUGCUGUUGUGGAACGUGUCCAUCUCGGAGGCUGAGGAGAAAUUCCUGCGAGGACCUGUCAUUGACGCAAGUGAGCGGGAGCACUUUGACAGCAGGAUAAAAAAACAAUUAAAGAAGAGUGGCAAGCCAUAUGAGAGUCAUCUACAGGAGUCAUGCUGUUAAGAAAUAACCAAGUCAUGGUGUUAAUAAAUAAUUUUUUUGUGAACAACAAUAUUGUCUCUUUCUUUUAAAUGACCCUUGGAAUUUUAGAAAAGGGUUAAAUUGUGUUUGUCUUCAUA